UUUAAUUUUUGCCUGAUACCGCAUGAUAUGGUUGAUCCUCUUUACGAAUUAUCGACGAAUUCAGAGAUAAUCUUUUUUCUUCGUUUCUACAUAUUUUAUUAGACGUGAAAUAAAGUUCAAGAAUAUUUUAUUUUAUAAUCAAGAAAAUAUAGAGUGUGCAACCUUUCUUAACAUCCACUUAUUUACUGGAGCACAAAGCCUGAACAUAAUCAAGAAAAGAUUGAUUGAGCGUGCGACCAGGUUUUACAUCCAUGUAUUUAUUGGGUCAGAAAGUAUUAAGUAAGUGU